UACACGAAAGUUGUCCCUUUAUUAUGGGCAAGAGUUGCGCUCUUAUAUGCAUGAAAAAGACUUCGAAAGAACAAAGAAGUGUGAUCUAAAUCACUUCCUUGCCAUUAUAAGCUUCCUCUUCCACCUCAUUUUAACCGGUGGAAGCGCACUAGCGGCGGGGGAACCUGUCGUUUUUCACCCCGAUUUGGUCCCCGCCGGGGAUGAAGUUUUCCCCGUAGGGGACAACCAAAUUGAUCUGGAGUUGAGACUAGGACCAACCCAAAUUGAUCUAGAGUUGAGGCUAGGGCCUCC
rnacentral:lncRNA from 1 species